GGUGGUAGCUUUUAGUACGUAAGCGCCAUGGAUGGCGAAUCGUGAAUGCUGCUACUAAGAACCGGCAGUAUUUUUGAAAGAUUUUCUACCUCC
rfam:Glossina morsitans morsitans, isolate Yale, WGS project CCAG01000000 data, contig: ctg10006971